UUUUUUUUUUUUUUUUUUUUUUUGAGUCUCAAUCGUGUGGACAUCACUGGGAAUGGAGGGAAAUAACUGACUGUAUGAUCGUUGCUUUUUAAGUUUCAAACUGACAUUCCAGGCGGGCUGUUGCCUAAGUGAGCAUCUGUCUUCAGAAUUUCACAGUGGGUUCCUGGGAAGGUGGAAGCCUCUCCCUGAUGGGUGAAGUGAGGAGCAGGAGGGGACCGACACGACAGAGGUGUGCAGCCUCCAGCAUCUCCUCCUUUGUGAACUGGAUCCUCCCCAAGGAGACUACGAGAUGAAAACUUCGGAGCCCGGGAGUGAGUGGCCAGCAGGUUGCAGACGUCAGGUGAUGGCCACCAGCCAGCAUGGAACACGCCCCCACAAGACACACAGCAGAGGUGCCACCUGGACCUCCCACCCUGUCAUCUCAAUGCCUUGGACCCCUGGCCAGGAUAUGUGGGGAUGGCACCCACCUGGGCACCCAGCUACUCAUCUGCUGUCUCACCAAUGAGGAGAAUGAAGAACACAGCUCUAUAUGAUGGAUCUGUGAAGUGUUCCUUGAAUAUCUCUGCCCAGAGUGCAACAAUGAGGCCGCUAAUUGAACAAUUCCAACAACCCCGUGGCAUCGUUGUGUCUCCAUCUUCAUUGAAUCGCUUCAUGAUAUCGGCUGUGGUGUGGACCCUGGCGGCACUGGGUCCUGCUUUUUCGUCUCUGAUCUCAUGGUUCUGGAUGUCCUCGGACGCCAGUGUUGCAUAGAAACAGAACUUUGAAGCCUGGAGGCCAUCUGGUGAUCUCUGUGUGCCUCCCUUGACAAAGGUGGAAAGCUCUAGAGGCAUCCAGCAGUGAGAGGGCCAGACACUUAGGGGACCGGCACCUCCUCUCCAGGGUCCUCUCCCACGUUAACUGCCUCUCACUAAGCAGCACCUCGGUCCUACUCCCAGCACUGCCUUGAUCACAAGAUCAUGCACAUGAUCACACCAUCUGCACAGGAGUGAACAGUGUCCCUUUAAAUCCAUGUUUACCCGGAGUCUCAGAAUGUGACCUGGUUUAGUAAUAGGGUCUUUGCAGAUGUAACUAGCUAAGGGGAAGUCAUACUGAGUGGGGGUGCCCUUGCGCAAUGAUUGAUGUCUUCAUGAGAAGAGGAAACAGACCCAGGGGGACACACACACACAUGCACACGGCCACGUGAAGACAGAAGCAGAGGUUGGAUGCAGCCACAAGCCAAGCACUACUGACCACAACCAGAAGCUAGAAGAGGCAGAGCAGGAGGCUCCCCUUGGAGCUUCAGAGAGGGCAUGGCCUUGCCAACACCUUGUUUCAGCUCCCAGAAAUAAGCUGAAAGUAAAUUUCUAUUGUAUUACUCAGUUUUUGGUUACUUGUGCAGCAGUGUUAGGAAACAAUUCAUAUAUUCACGUGCUGCCAGCUUGUUUCAUGGAUGCUUCUUCCUUACUGGUCUCCUUUCUUUUUAUAGCCACACCCACAGCAUAUGGAGGUUCCCAGGAGAAUUGGAGGAGCCACAGCUACAGCAAUGCAGGAUCCAAGCUGCCUCUGCGACCUACACCGCAGUUCAUGGCAACGUCAGAUCCUUAACCUUCUGAGUGAGGCCAGGGAUCAAAUCCACAUCUUCACCAACGCUAUGUCAGGUUCUUAACUUGCUGAGCCACAACAGGAACUCCUACUUUUCUCCUUUAAAUCUCCUUCUAAACCUCUCCCAGCUGCCCGGAGUGGACAUCGUUGGCCAGAAGACUCUCAGAAUCUCCCCUAGUGACCAAGCUGAAGUCCAUUUACUGAUAGCUGAAGAUGAGUGUCAAAUCCAUGUCUGUUCUGCAUAUGAAAUUCUUCUCUUAGUCAUGUCCCAACUGGGUGUUUCUUGGACCCUGCUGGAUAUGGUAAUUGGCACAAUGGGGGCAGGUGGUGUACGCUUGAGUUUAUUUUGAAAGUCAUAGAUUAAUUUUAAUGAGAUUUGAAAAAAAGUGAAAGUCCCACAUUAGAUCCACCAUUUCAUAGACAGUGUUGUUUAGGACAAAGCUAACUAAAAAAAGACUUAAAGUUGAUCCGAAGAAAAUUAUUACAUAAAUGUGGCAUGUGAUUUGCCAAGUGUGAGCAGUUCCAGGGUGGAAAGAAUAGUGUGCUUUUGCAGUCUGACAGUUUCGAGUUCAAAUUCUUUUUCCUACCAGUGCUGGGACUCAGUGACAAUUGAUGAAUCUCUGAACCUCAGCUUUCUCUUCUGUGUAAUGGGAACACAAGGCCUAAACUGGAGGCUUUGCUCUGAAAGACUAGGACAAAGGAUGGCUGAGAAUGUGCUUGGCACAUGGGAUGCUCAGAAAAUG
rnacentral:lncRNA from 1 species